rnacentral:rRNA from 1 species
AAUCAACGCUGGCGGCGCGCUUAACACAUGCAAGUCGCACGAGAAAGUGGAGCAAUCCAUGAGUAAAGUGGCGUACGGGUGAGUAACACGUGGAUCAUCUACCUCUUGGUGGGGAAUAACCCUGGGAAACCGGGGCUAAUACCGCAUAAGCCUGAAAAGGGAAAGCAGCAAUGCGCCGAGAGAGGAGUCCGCGGCCGAUUAGCUUGUUGGUAGGGUAAUGGCCACCAAGGCAAUGAUCGGUAGCCGGCCUGAGAGGGCACACGGCCACACUGGCACUGAAACACGGGCCAGACUCCUACGGGAGGCAGCAGUGGGGAAUUGUUCGCAAUGGGCGCAAGCCUGACGACGCAACGCCGCGUGGAGGAUGAAGGUC